GGGUAGUCCAAGAAAAGGAGGCUGGGUCCUUCGGUCGGGGUUGGUGUCCUUGAGGACCCGUGAGAGUCGGCAGGAUUUCACGAAGACAGAGCACGCUGCGGGGAUCUGAACUGCGAGCUGAGAGGCAGGGCUCCUCAAGUCCUCCACCAUCCUUCUUCCCCAUCCUUUCUGGAGAAGGGACAGCUGGGAAAACUGAAAAUACCAGAGAAGCCACUCUCAAGGUCCGGAGAAACCACCCGCCACCUCUUCUUGAUUCGGACCCAGCCUGUCAAAAGUUAUCAUCUUCCUCACCAGGACGGCAAGGCUUCUUCCGAGCCCAGGGCCCCAAGUCCGAGGAUUAGGUGGGGAGGCCCCAACCUUUCAGCCACAGGGAGAACACUGCUCCCCAUGGCCAUGGUGACUAUCUACCCUUUGGUCAAAUCUGGAUGCCACCCUUUAAUGCCUUCCAACCUGCCCCUUCCGAAGUCUAAUUUUUGGAAAGAAACUAGAUGGGACCACUAGACUCUGCUCAUGUCAUUGCCACACGGUGUGCAAGCAUUCUCAGCCUGUGUUGGAAGGUGUGGACGCGCAUACCGAUGAACCCCACUCCACCCAUCUCUGCCAACAUAAGAGCACCCACGAUCCCAGCCUCAAUUGUCGGGGUGAGGGGGAAACAAAAAUCGAAAAACUCAUUUCUGAGUACAAAACACGCUGAAUUUCAAAACCACCGCUCACCUCCUCCAGAAGGCAGCUUUUGUUUUCGUUGCCCAUGAUGAAUAAAAGUAAUUUAUUUUGAUUUUG